CACGCAGGCGGGCUGCCAAGUCGGAUGUGAAAACCAGGAGCUUAACUCCUGGCCUGCAUUCGAUACUGGUAGUCUUGAGUACCGGAGAGGAUGGCGGAAUUCCUGGUGUAGCGGUGAAAUGCGUAGAUAUCAGGAAGAACACCGGUGGCGAAGGCGGCCAUCUGGACGGAUACUGACGCUCAGGUGCGAAGGCUAGGGGGAGCAAACA
rnacentral:rRNA from 1 species